AAUUUAGUAAGAGACACACAGAAAAGCAUGAGUGUAGGGCAGUUUACUGUAGUGGCUGGUGCUGUAAUGGAAAUACAGCCCAGAGAUGUUAGAGAAACCAGGGGGAGGGCUGAGUCGGGGGUAGCUCAGUGGUAAAGUGCCUGCCCAGCAGGAGGGAGGCCCUGGGUUCAAUCCCCAGCACCCAGAGGAAAAGAAAAAGAAACCUUAGGGUGGGCUACUGGGGUAGUCAGGAAGGAGACUUCUGAACUGAGGUUGGACAGGAGGCGGAGGGGCCCUGAGGCUAGCGCGGUGCAGGUGGCAGGAACUGCCAAGCCAAAGGCUCUGUGGCGAGAACCCACAAGCUCACGUGUGUGGAGGUUUGAGCACAGGGGCUUCCAGGGCCUCGGAAAGCCCCAGCCUCUAGCGUCUGCGUCGCUGUCAUUGUACCUACACAGGCCCAGGCGGCUCCAAGGACCAACUCCCGGAAGGGCCUGGAGGAACGUGUAGAUUGCAAGCCCGCUGGAGCAGAUAAACUCCAGAGGCAGAAGUCGUGCAGGCCCAGGAGCCUGGCUGGGUAGCUCGUCAGCGGUUUGCAGGCUGUGUAGGAGCUCGCUCUUAGGAGAUUUCGGUCAAAGGAUGGCCUGGUUUGGUUCUGCGGGACCAGAAGGCCGGGAUGGGGAAAGAGGAUUCCAGAUUCUCCGGGAUUCUUCGAAUUCUCUGGCGGUGGGCUGGGCGGGAGGCCCGCGGACAGCCUGAGGUGGGGCCUGGGGUUCGACACCGCCCCUCCACCGACCAGCUCUGUGGCUGAGGCGGGUCCUCACGCCCCUGGGCCUCCGUUUUCCUCCCGCGUGGAUCCAGAGGUGGCUUCGCCGCUCCCACGGCCUGGCUCCUGGGAACAGUCACUGGCUGAGCUGUGUGGCCGGAGCAGAGGCCCCUGCCCCGCCCCAUGUUCUUGUGGGAGCCAUGAAGCUGAACAAGAGGAGCGUGGCCCACUAUGCACUGAGUGAUUCCCCAGCAGACCACAUGGGUUUCCUGCGCACGUGGGGGGGCCCAGGGGCCCCCCCUACUCCCAGCGGCACUGGCAGAAGAUGCUGGUUUGUCCUCAAAGGCAACCUGCUGUUUUCCUUCGAGAGUCGAGAGGGCCAGGCCCCACUGAGCCUGGUGGUGCUUGAGGGCUGCACAGUGGAGCUGGCUGAGGCUCCCGUGCCUGAGGAGUUCGCCUUUGCCAUCCACUUUGAUGCCCCUGGAGUGCGCCCGCACCUGCUGGCGGCAGAUGGGCAGGAAGCCCAGGAGGCCUGGGUGAAGGCACUAUCCCGGGCCAGCUUCAGCUACAUGCGCCUGGUGGUUCGAGAGCUGGAGAGCCAGCUGCAGGAUGCCCGCAGGAGCCUGGCCUUGCAUCGCUGCACAUCCCAGAAGGCCAGUGCCAGUUGCCGAAAGCCACAGGCACCUGACAGCAGAUCUCCAGGCCUGGAAAAUGGUCACUUUCUCCCCAGGGACUGCAGUCCCGUGGGCACAGUGGAAGGAGUAGGCUACAGGCCAGUAGGGUGGGAUUUGCCUGAGUGGGAGUUGCAGGGCCCCACUGGCCUCCUCCUAGGCAGGGGGCAGAGCCCUGUGUCCCCCGAGACCUCCUGCUUCUCUACCCUGCAUGACUGGUAUGGCCAGGAGAUCUUGAAGCUGAGGCAGGGGUGGCAGCAGAGGGCCCAGGGGAAGCAGCCAGGAUGCAAGCGCCAGGAUAAGCCCUGAGGCUGGGACCUGUGAGUUCUGGUUGUGUCCUGCUGGUCAGGACAACCCGGGGUCAGUGCUUCUUCAGAAGUUCAAUGUUUACUCAUUUGCAAGAUUGCUUUGCCACAGGUAGGGUGAGGACAGCUGCUCCCUCUUGCUCUUUAUAUCUUCUUGGGGUUCCAGUCCUCCCUUGUGCCUGGAAGGGACUGACAAACCAUGACUUCCAACCUGUUUGCUGAGGCCCAGAGAGGAAAGGUGGCCUGCAUAGGACUCUGCUGGACAUUAACAAAGUGAAGGAAGUGGGCUGCCCUACCUUUGACCUACACAGUGGAACCUAUGGCCAUAGUUUUCAACACAGGGAGUCUUACAUGCAUUUAAAUUACCAGAGGCUGGCUGCAGAUUAUCUGAGAAAGUGGAUUUAUGUGUCAUAGAAAUUCCUGGGCCCAGCUCCUCCUGGAGGUUACAAAGAGUGAGCAUAGACAACCCCCCCCCCUCUACUUUGGGUGGAGCCCUUUGAAGGAGAGGGCCUCCUGCCUAUAAAAGGGAAUUUCUCCUACUCUCCCUGGAUGCCCUGACAGUAGAUGGUGCAGGACUUUGCCCCAGGAGGGGCUGUUAGCUUUUUUAAGUAAGCAGAAACGCUUCCCAUCAUCUGUCCUCAGCUUCCACCUCUUGUCCCUGCCAAGCUGAAAGUUGGGGAGGUGGGGAGGUAGAGAGGUUGGGUGGCUCCCGGGAGAAAGGAAGCUUGUUUCUUUGGUUCUGGAAAUUCUAGAAGCUUGGACACAAGAUUCCCAGUAUUAUAUGGUAAACUCUUCUCUCCCAGUUGGGCUCCCAUAAAAGUGUUUUUACUCCCGAAAUUGCAGGCGAAACCAACCACCUGGGAACUCUGUCCCAGUCUUGCUUCUCACUAGGGUUUACCUGUCGAAAACCCUCACUGCUACUCCCUAGCACUGUGCCAUGUUUUCUCUUCCUAUGGUUUUUUUUUUUUUGGUACUGGGAAUCGAACUCGGGACUUUGCGCUUCCAAGGCAGGCGGCAGCACCAUUGAGCUAAAUAACCCUCUUCCUACAGUUUUGAGAGGCAAGCAGCUGGGGCCAACCUCUUGCUGUAUGGGUGUGCUAGUAGUGGCUGGUGGGAAGAUGGGGGGCCUGGUCAGACUUCCUCUUCCCCAAAACACAAAACCUGCCCUUUCCUAGCCUCCCCUUCCUUACUGGGGUCUUAGGCAACCAGACCAGGACCCAAGUAGCCUAAAGCUGAGGCUCAAGAGUGUCUUCUCAUUUCUAGGAGGCUGAGAAACUGCCCAGGGCCCUGUCUAGAUUCCUGUCCUACCCAACUUGUUUCUUUUCCCGUGUGGGACCCACAUAGCCCACUGCACUUUAUUUUAUACACAGAUACUGCAGGAUUUGUAAUCUUUCUUACCGUUACAGUGUUUUUUUUUACAUAUAUAUACAUAUAUAUAUACACACACACACAAUUAAAACACUAAAGUUUUAAAAAUUGUUAUUAGAUUCGUUUAUUACAAGCUCUGUUUAUCCAAAUGCAGAGGGCCACAGCUAUGGACACCAAUAUCUGAGGCUGGGAACUGAAUUAGUGCCGGAAAUCCGGGUUCUCGGUGGUCCUAACCUCCAACGGGGCCAUUCUUCUACUAGGCUUGUCAGACUUGUACAGGAGGCCUGCAGGCCGCUGCCCCGUGCACAGGGACUACAUGUAUAGGCCUUUGUUAACUUUUUUAUUGUUACAAUGUUUCUUAUACGAUUCAAACUCUAAAGUUUUGUCUUUAUUACUCAUUUCGGUUCCUUAAACUUAUUUCAACAGUAUGCUGUAGGUAGGGGUGGGAGGCUCAAAUGGGCGUCGGCGUCGCCCUCGUGACCCCAUCACGUGUCCCUCGACACGCCUCUUUCCCACUGCCACGGGAAGUGCGGACACUGCGCAAGUGUGAGGAUGGGGUUCUCGUGUGCUUGCACAACAUCGCGAGACUUGGGGUGGCGCCCUAAAGGACGGCGGCGCCAGGGGUGGGCGGCGAGGUGCGCGUUCCCGGGAGAGGGGCGGAGCUGGGAGAUGGCGUCCGGAGGGGCUCGCUGGCUGCUUUUGGCACCCCUCCGAUUCGGGGCCCUUCGUAGCGGGCCGAGGUUGAGGAAAGGUGGCGAUGUCCCCGCCGUACGGGACGGCUCAAGUCGCAGCCUGGUACCGUCGAGAUGUCCUUCGGUCUUCUCCGCGUGUUCUCCAUUGUGAUCCCCUUCCUCUAUGUCGGGACACUCAUUAGCAAGAAUUUUGCUGCUCUACUCGAGGAGCAUGACAUUUUUGUCCCAGAGGAUGAUGAUGAUGAUGACUAACAGGAUGAGAAGUAGAGGAGAAAGCAGCAGCUGUGAAAAUGACAAUGCUCUUGGCCACUCCUUCCCUUUCAGCUGAAGGGCUCUGGAAAGCCCUUAGCCCACCUCCUGCAUAGUCUGUGAUUGCAGCCCAGAUCCCCAGGCUCUGGAAGGUUCCCUAAGGUGUAUUGUCCACUGUGCACUGGGAGAAAAGUCAAAUUAUGAGUCACACAAUAAAUGUCAGCUAUAUGAGACUAAAA